rnacentral:tRNA from 1 species
CCAAUAGGCCCUUAGACCA